rnacentral:lncRNA from 1 species
CUUCAUGUAGAGAUUUCAGUUAACUUUUGUUGUGCCUUGACAAUUCUGCCCAAAGGAGGGAAAGGGUAGACAUAAAUACAGUUCUUAAAAGGCCUUUUCUUCCACUAUUGUUCUUAUUUGAAGCACAAUUAUGAGUUAAUUUUUGGUGACCAGAAUUUGUGUGUGUUUGUAUGUGCACAUGCAUGUAUAUGUAGAGAGAGAGAGAGAGAGAGCACCCAAGUGAGCAGUGGCUGCUAGCCAGACAUCAAAAUCCAUAUUCUUAUUUAUUUCUUUUUUGCUUUUUAGGGCUGCACCUGCAGCAUACGGAAGUUCCCAGGCUAGGGGUCUAAUCCGAGCUGCAGCUGCCAACCUGUGCCACAGCCACAGCAACACCAACACCGAGUCGAGCCACGUUUGUGACCCACACUGCAGCUCAUGGCAACACCAGAUCCUUAACCCACUGAGUGGGGCCAGGGACCAAUCCCACAUCCACAUGGAUACUAGUCAGGUUGGUUUCCACUGAGUACAAUGGGAACUCCCCAUCCAAUGGAAUGAGAAUAGAAGUUACAUGUACUACUUUGAGUUCUCUCCCCUAAAAACUCCGCUUCCUACAGACUGAAAUAGAAAAGACCCCCAGGGAGACCUUGGAACUUUGGUACUGAAAGCCUAGGUACAGAAAGACCUUGAAAACUAAGCAUUGAAAUGCCUGUUUAUUUUAGCAAGAAACAGACUUGAGCUGUUAUACAUUUUGGGGUUGAUCUGUUAUGGCAAUUAGUCUCCCCUAAUUAACUCAAUAUACAAAACUUGUAUUCAAAGAGGCUGUAUGAUGUACAACUCCCAUGGGCAUCAUUUACAUUGGAAUAUAUGUGAAUGGCAUUUCCUGAAGCACAAUUAAGAAGCCUCAGUUAUGCAUGCACAUGGAGAUAUAUUAAUGUUCCCCCCAGGAGUGGUACGGUAUUGUAGCUCUGCCAAACCAACACCAACUUCUCUCUUGCAUUUUAUUGCACAAGAGCAUCAAUUUGUGUAAAGUCACUUCCCUUUUGUGUCUGUGGUAAUAGAUUAAGGUGGAAUGGAUCAUCCAACAAUAUCUUAAGAGAAAAUGUAUACUUAGGAUCCAAACCAGAUCUCUUAGAUUUAUUCAACUGUAUUAGCUACAGACUCUUAUAAUUUGUUACCCUCUGCCAUGCAUUAGGCCAACAGACAAUGUCAGGAGUCUCCUUCCCCUCUGCCCUCCAAGCUUGCUGCUGUGAAUGAUAAAAACUUUGGCCUUCAUUUUCCUUAUCUCUAAAAUGAGAGCUAGAUUAUAUGACCCCAAAGAGCCCUUCACUAAAAUUCUACUAUCUGUGACUACAAUGUCCAUAGCUAUUGGUAGAACUAAUUAUUACUGUGACUCUUCCUUCAGAUUCCAAAUUGAUACUCUACAGGUGCUUAAAAGUAAGUUAAAGUUAUAAAGAAAAUGUUCAACUUGCACCAAUUCACAGAGAGGCACAACAGAGAUUUUGCUUUUCUCUUAAAUAAAAACUAUUAAAUUGAAAAGAUUUUUUUAACUCAUUCAAGAUAUUUUUAGAGUAAUUAUAAAUCAGUGUGUCACCUCUUUGAAUUUUUUACUCAAUGGAUGAAGUAGCAAAGCCAAUGCAGAAUGUGACAUUUAUUGAAAUAAUAUGCCAUAUUACAAAACGUAAACUAAAUAGCAGAUUGUGUAUUUACUGUUACUGAAGUUAGCAGUUAAAACCUUGUUUUACUUCUCCUAAUUGUACACUUAUGUUCUAAUGUUUCAAUGAAAUAACAAUAUUAGAACAAGUUCAAGAUCAUGGCAGAAUCACCAAUCAUAGUUACUUUUGUCAUAGUUAACUAAAUCAUCUGUAUCUUUGUAUAUUAUGACAGAACUAAAUCACAUUUUUGUUAUAGCGGACAGAAAUGAAUCUUUACCUAUUUGUCUGCUGGUAGGCAUUUAAUCUCAUGGAUUUCAGAUUCGGUUAAAGCUAAAAAUGUACAUUAUCCAGACUUGAUAAAGGCAUGGAAUUGGCUUUGAUUCGCAUUCUUCAGGAGAGCUGCAAAAAAUAUGGACCUUACUCAGGGGUGACACUUUUUUAGAAAAGAGGAAGAGCAGGCUGUAUAUAUCAUUGUCCAAAGUGGAGUCUUUAUAUUAAGAGAAAGCCAUGUAUGGGCUGGAGUAGAUAAGAAGAAGGAAUCCCAGUAAAUUUUUUCCCCCCACAAAAGGAACGAGGCAGAGAGAGAGAGCCUGCAGUAGUAUUUUGAAUACCAGUAGACAAGCAUAGAUUCUAAAUAUCCUUAGAUAAUUGCAUAAACAGGGAAAUAAUUUUUAAAAUGAAGGUACAGUUACAAAUUUAUUGUGGUAUAUCCAUAUGUUGGAAUGCCAUGCAGAUAUUAAAAAUGUUUUCAAAAAUAUUCAGUAACAUGAGAAAAUGGUCAUUAUAAACUGCAGAUCCUUUAUUUCUGUCCAAAAUGAAUCAAUCUUAUUCUUUCUGACCUCUGUAUUUUUCCUCAUUGCUAUGUCCUCCCCACCCCCAGUAUAAAUAGCAGCAUAAUGGAAAUAAUAUUUUAAGGAGAGAUGCAUAUACACUGAAUUUUUAAGCUUGAAGGCAUUUUAGAGAUCAUUUAGUCAAAAUUCAUCAUUUUGCAAAGGAAACUGACCCUGGAAAAUUAAAUGUCUCCCUUAAGGCCUUGAUCCCAGCAUUGCUAACUUGCUAAAACCUGGGUUUCCUUGCUCUCCAAAUUUGGCACAUUUUACCUUCAGUUAUAACUGGCUACAUCAGAGGUUGGUUCAUACCAGAUUAGAGACUGAAGGUUGGGCUAAAGAGAAUGAACUUUAUCCUAGUCUGUCUUUUUUUGGGGGAGAGGGUGGGUACAAGGCACAAGGGAAUGAUAAUGAUCAGAGUUGUAAAAUAUCUCUAGAGAUCGUCUGUUUCUUAAUCCUAAAUCUUUUAACUUUUUUCUUACUCAGUACCACUUUAAAAAUUCUUGGGGGAGAACUCAAAUCACUUCUUUGACUCAUAUAAAUAAUACUGAGAAAUGGAAGUAACUGGAUUACAACUUCUAACCAUUUUACUUAUUUGUUCACUUGCUUUUGUCUUUCUUUUCCACUAGAAUGUAUUUUCCAGGAGAGAUGGCCUAUAUCUUUUUGUUAACUCCAGCUCCUGCCAAGUGUUUGACACAUAAAAGAUGUUCAGUGAAUGUUGGUGAGUGAAUUAAUAAAUGAUAGCUACUGAAAAGCAAUAAUUAAUUUACUUUGAUUCAGUUUCUCCUGGAGGUUUUCCCAAGUUUUGUGAUCCCAUUACCAUUCUAAAUUUUAGAAUGGGGUGAACCUGCCCUAUUCUGCAUAUGCUAUACAUUUCAGGGUAGCACAACCGAACUGUUUUAUAAUAUUAAUUUUGGCACUCUUAGACUCUUGUGCCAAAUUUGCUAAAUUUGGGAAUGACCUUGAUCUGUAAUUAGAUUUUUAUCCACAGGUGAAUUGUGUAUACUUAAACCAUGAAUUACGUGUGUACCUGUGACAUUACAUUGAUGAUGCAUCAGGAGGGAACACUGUUAUGUGCACAUACUUGGAAAUAGGAAAAAAGUGAUGCUAAUACCUUGAAAAAUAGAAGCAUUAGGCUGAAAUACGUAUAUAUUUAAACUUCUAUCUCAAAUUAAGUGUAAAUUUCAAACCUGACAAAGAGAAGUAAAUAAUAUUUUGAAGAGUGGAUUUUCCCUUAAAAGUAAGCUAUUAAAAUAAAAACAAAGCAGUAAGUUCCCUUGUGGCACAGUGGGUUAAGGACCUGGUGUUGCUGCAGUUGUGGUGCAUGUUGCAACUGUGGCAUGGGUUCAGUCCCUGACCUGGGAGCUUCCACAUGUCAUGGGCAUGGCCAAAAAAUAAAUACAUAAGACAAAGCAAAACAAAACCACUGAGUUUCUAUUCUAAGCCUAAGCUUAAAAAUUCAUCUCAAUUUUAAAAGGUAGGCCACAUAAAUUUUUCUCCUUAGGUUUAUUUUCAGUAUAAACAUAUGUAGAGUAUUAAAAGAUUUUUUUUUUACAGAAAAAUUUUUACCAGAUGAAGAAGCUUAAAAAUGUUGGCCUUUUAGCCUAUUUCUAGGAAUUUAUCCUAAUUUAGAAAAUAAUCUGAAAUGCUAAAACAGAUUUAUCCAUAAAAAAGUUCACAGCAACAUUAUUUCUAAGAAAGUAAGGAAAACAGCUUAAAUGACCACUUAAGGGAACACUACUCCACACAAGGAUCAUUAUGCAGCCAUUGAAAAUGUCUUUAAAGAGUUUUAAAUAAGUUGAAGAAACAUUUUUGAUAAAUUCUCAUGAAAAAAGGCAGUGUACUUAAAUAGUUUAAACUUCAUAAACUUAACUGUACGGAAAUAUGGUUAACUGCAAUAGUCAGUUACUUCUAAAUAAAGGAAUUACUGGUUAUUAUUUCUUGCUGUCCUUUAAAAAUAUUUUUGUUCUUUAUUUUAAACGUAUUUUUAAAAUUUUCUUCACUUAGAUGUACUACUUUCAUAAUCAGAAAAAGAAACCUAUUACUUGGCAUAGAUGUGUGUUUAUGUCCCAGUGAUGUUUUGAGUGUCAUCACAUGAGUAUAAAUAUUGUUGACCAAAAGAAAAGUUUUGGUAUUAUUUAAAUCCAAAUAAUGUAGUUUCCAAAACAAACACUGAUACAUAUCCUAUAACUGGUAAAGUCCUAAUGGUUUAGUAUAAGCUACUAAUUAUUUGACAUAGCAGGCUCUCAGUAUGUUCAUUGAUGAUGGGGACGGUUAGAGAAGGGAUACCUCAAUUAAUUUACCAAGUUCCUUGAAUCUGUCAAUUAACAACUCUCCCACCAAGAGAUUAAUAAUAGUCUUGUGUCAAAAACCUGUCCAUAAAAAUACCCCUUAGUUUGUGUGGUGCACUUCUGCAAACCCAUUAUUUUGUUCUUCAAAAAGAACAAUCUCUUAAGUGCUAAUUUUUAACUAACACAGAGGGAAGAAAAAUUUGUCCUUACCUUGUUUAUAUUGGCAAGCUAUGAGCUUCAAAUAAGAUUCUGUGAUCUGACACCACCAAGAAAAAAGUUUUCUGAAGAAGUAAGUGGCAACAGUACUUACCUUGCAGGGUUGUUAAGUUUUAGAAAUCAUGUAUGU